ACUCCUACGGGAGGCAGCAGUGGGGAAUAUUGCACAAUGGGCGCAAGCCUGAUGCAGCCAUGCCGCGUGUAUGAAGAAGGCCUUCGGGUUGUAAAGUACUUUCAGCAGUGAGGAAGGGUGGGUAUGUUAAUAGCAUACUCAUUUGUACGUUAGUCUGCAGAAGAAGCACCGGCUAACUCCGUGCCAGCAGCCGCGGUAAUACGGAGGGUGCGAGCGUUAAUUCGGAAUUACUGGGCGUAAAGCGCAUGCAGGUGGUUUGUUAAGUCAGAUGUGAAACGCCGGGGUCGUCAACCUCGGAAUUGCAUUUGAAACUGGACAACUAGAGUACUGGUAGAGGGGGUUAGAAUUUCAGGUGUAGC
rnacentral:rRNA from 1 species